rnacentral:rRNA from 1 species
GUCGAACGGAAAGGCCCUUCGGGGUACUCGAGUGGCGAACGGGUGAGUAACACGUGGGUGAUCUGCCCUGCACUUCGGGAUAAGCCUGGGAAACUGGGUCUAAUACCGGAUAGGACUACGAAUCGCAUGGUUUGUGGUGGAAAGCUUUUGCGGUGUGGGAUGGGCCCGCGGCCUAUCAGCUUGUUGGUGGGGUGAUGGCCUACCAAGGCGACGACGGGUAGCCGGCCUGAGAGGGUGACCGGCCACACUGGGACUGAGAUACGGCCCAGACUCCUACGGGAGGCAGCAGUGGGGAAUAUUGCACAAUGGGCGCAAGCCUGAUGCAGCGACGCCGCGUGAGGGAUGACGGCCUUCGGGUUGUAAACCUCUUUCAGCAGGGACGAAGCGCAAGUGACGGUACCUGUAGAAGAAGGACCGGCCAACUACGUGCCAGCAGCCGCGGUAAUACGUAGGGUCCGAGCGUUGUCCGGAAUUACUGGGCGUAAAGAGCUCGUAGGUGGUUUGUCGCGUUGUUCGUGAAAACUCACAGCUCAACUGUGGGCGUGCGGGCGAUACGGGCAGACUUGAGUACUGCAGGGGAGACUGGAAUUCCUGGUGUAGCGGUGGAAUGCGCAGAUAUCAGGAGGAACACCGGUGGCGAAGGCGGGUCUCUGGGCAGUAACUGACGCUGAGGAGCGAAAGCGUGGGGAGCGAACAGGAUU